GGGCCCGCACAAGCGGUGGAGCAUGUGGUUUAAUUCGAUGCAACGCGAAGAACCUUACCUACUCUUGACAUCUACAGAAGCCAGCGGAGACGCAGGUGUGCCUUCGGGAACUGUAAGACAGGUGCUGCAUGGCUGUCGUCAGCUCGUGUUGUGAAAUGUUGGGUUAAGUCCCGCAACGAGCGCAACCCUUAUCCUUGUUUGCCAGCACGUAAUGGUGGGAACUCCAGGGAGACUGCCGGUGAUAAACCGGAGGAAGGUGGGGACGACGUCAAGUCAUCAUGGCCCUUACGAGUAGGGCUACACACGUGCUACAAUGGCAUAUACAGAGGGCAGCAAGACCGCGAGGUGGAGCGAAUCCCACAAAGUAUGUCGUAGUCCGGAUCGGAGUCUGCAACUCGACUCCGUGAAGUCGGAAUCGCUAGUAA
rnacentral:rRNA from 1 species